rnacentral:rRNA from 1 species
UACGUAGGGGGCAAGCGUUGUCCGGAUUUAUUGGGCGUAAAGAGCGUGUAGGCGGCUUUACAGGUCCGUUGUGAAAACUCGAGGCUCAACCUCGAGACGCCGGUGGAAACCGUAAAGCUAGAGUCCGGAAGAGGAGAGUGGAAUUCCUGGUGUAGCGGUGAAAUGCGCAGAUAUCAGGAAGAACACCUGUGGCGAAGGCGGCUCUCUGGGACGGUACUGACGCUGAGACGCGAAAGCGUGGGGAGCGAACAGG